AGCGAACGCUGGCGGCAGGCCUAAUACAUGCAAGUCGAACGGACCCUUCGGGGUUAGUGGCGGACGGGUGAGUAACACGUGGGAACGUGCCCUUUGGUUCGGAAUAACUCAGGGAAACUUGAAUUAAUACCGAAUGUGCCCUUCGGGGAAGAUUAUCGCCAUUGGAGCGGCCCGCGUCUGAUUAGCUAGUUGGUGGGGUAAAGGCCCACCAAGGCUACGAUCAGUAGCUGGUCUGAGAGGAUGAUCAGCCACACUGGGACUGAGACACGGCCCAGACUCCUACGGGAGGCAGCAGUAGGGAAUCUUGCGCAAUGGGCGAAAGCCUGACGCAGCCAUGCCGCGUGAAUGAUGAAGGUCUUAGGAUUGUAAAAUUCUUUCAGCGGGGACGAUAAUGACGGUACCCGCAGAAGAAGCCCCGGCUAACUUCGU
rnacentral:rRNA from 1 species